UACGGGGGGGGCAAGCGUUGUUCGGAAUUACUGGGCGUAAAGGGUUUGUAGGUGGCUUGUUAAGUCAGACGUGAAAUCCCUCAGCUUAACUGGGGAACUGCGUCUGAUACUGGCGAGCUUGAGUACUUAAGAGGAUCGCGGAAUUCCCGGUGUAGAGGUGAAAUUCGUAGAUAUCGGGAGGAACACCAGUGGCGAAGGCGGCGAUCUGGGAAGAUACUGACGCUGAGGUGCGAAAGCGUGGGGAGCAAACAGG
rnacentral:rRNA from 1 species